UUGUGUUUGUGUGGGAUUUUACAGCAGAAGAACAUUCCCUGCGUUAAUGGGGUUCGUUGAUCAAGGGAGCAGAUGUCUGCUUUUCAUCAGGCCACACUGUGCUGUGGUUGUAAAGCCUGAAUGCAAUUAAGAUUUCAGCUGCCACCUAUCAUGAGUGUAAUUACCAGCAGCGCAAAAUCAAACAGUUCAGCCACUUCAUUCCAGGCAUUUAGAAUGCCAAGGGAAUGAGAACAGCCUAAAGUUUAUCCUCUAUGGAUUAGAUUUUCUCCUCUUUCUCCUCCUCUCUCUGUGUCAGACUGUCUCACUAGGGUUGUCAUCAGAACUGUUCCUCCUGAGUCAUAGUAUCGAAAAGUUUAUACUUUUGUACUGUGUGCUGCUGGUGGUAAGGGAGAUUUGCUCCAAUUCAGACACAAGUGAGGCCAGGAAUUGAUGUUGGGUGAUCGGAUCUGGCCUGCUGCUGGCUUUCUGAUUCAUCGCAAAGGUGUUCAGUAGAGUGCUCAGUCAAGUUCUUUCACACCAGACUCAUUAAAUCAUUUCUUAAUGGACCUUGCUCUGUGAAUUUAUACAUGUUUUAAGGUUUGGGGUCUGUAAGAUAUAUAUAUUUUUUGGGGGGUCAGUAAGAUAUUAUGUGUUUUUCUAAGAAGAGUCUUAUAUUCAACAAAGUCUGCAUUUAUUUUAUUUAUUUAUUUUCUUUACAAAAUGUGUGGAAUUAAUUUUCACUUAUUUACAUAAUUUUAGGUUAUAUUAAUUAAACUGUUUUGUUUAAAACAUUAAACUGUUUUGUUUAAAACAUUAAACUGUUAAUUAAACUGUUUUGUUUUUUUAUUAAUAAAUAAUAAAACUAGUUAUUUUAUUUUAUGAUCAAAAAGAACAUUUAGACAUUAUUAGUAGUAGUUGUUGAAAAUGGAAAUGGUAUGUUGCAACAUUCUGUUUGAAGUAUGGAAGUUUUUUUUUAGGAUUGUUUAAACAAAGAUUGAAGAACAGCAUUUUUUUUUUUCAUUUUAAGUAAUAUUAAACUUAACACAUCUAUCUAUCUAUCUAUCUAUCUAUCUAUCUAUCUAUCUAGACUGUGAUUCAUCCACUGGGAUGAAACCCUACUAAAAAUGUAUAUAUAGGCCUAGACUGUUAACUCCAAUUAAAGUUAUUCCAGUUUGUUUGUGUCUAAUCUGCAUCGGAUCUAGGAUUAUUACCAUAUCUAAUUUUUCUUUGAGUUAAUUGUGUGCUGGAGUACAUUGUGUUCCUGAUGUGCACCAGAGUACACAAUGAGGUGUGUUGUACUAUUACGUUUUCAAGCAUGAGUCAGAGCUGGUAACCGGUCCGUCAAAUGAAUCCUGUAUUACUCGCUCGGGCUGAGAUGGGGCUAUCAUACAAAAGCAUCAAGCUCUGUCAAUCUCUGCUAUUUAGAGCCAUUACUGAGUGGCCAUGUGCCAAGGCCUCAUGAUGAGUGAAAUACGGCGUUCUCAGAUGACAGACAUCAUUAUAUUUUCAUUACUGAAUGCUUCUCAUAAAAAAUAAGAUGCUGAGAUGAAUGGGCUGAGGGAAGGAAAGGACAGGAGGAGCUGUGAAUCAGGCAGGAUGAGAAACACAUGUGGGACCUUUCCUCGCAAUCGUCUGCAUUGGAUCAACAUGCGAUGACGUGUCUGAGGAAUUGCAAGAUUCCAGUGGCUGAGUUGCCACACAAUGAGCUUCACGCUCUCAUAUUAUUGAUGAUAUGAUAUGUGUGUCAUUUCGAUGAUGGAAAGUAUUUCUUAGUUGAAUUAGUGAUCACGUUUUAUACUGUUGAAAUGUACGUUCUCCUUCACUGACUCUCCAACGAGUAUUCGUAUUUCACUUUUGGGAAAACUUGA
ensembl:lncRNA